UCCCUUAUUCCUACGGGAGGCAGCAGUAGGGAAUCUUCCACAAUGGACGCAAGUCUGAGGAGCACGCCGCGUGAGUGAAGAAGGUCUUCGGAUCGUAAAACUCUGUUGUUAGAGAAGAACACGAGUGAGAGUAACUGUUCAUUCGAUGACGGUAUCUAACCAGCAAGUCCCGGCUAACUACGUGCCAGCAGCCGCGGUAAUA
rnacentral:rRNA from 1 species